UACGUAGGGGGCGAGCGUUGUCCGGAUUUAUUGGGCGUAAAGAGCUCGUAGGCGGUUCGAUAAGUCGGACGUGAAAUCUCCACGCUCAACGUGGAGGGGCCGUUCGAUACUGUCGUGACUCGAGUCCGGUAGGGGAGUGUGGAAUUCCCGGUGCAGCGGUGAAAUGCGCAGAGAUCGGGAGGAACACCCGUAGCGAAGGCGGAACUCUGGGCCGGUACUGAAGCUGAGGAGCGAAAGCGUGGGGAGCAAACAGG
rnacentral:rRNA from 1 species